rnacentral:tRNA from 1 species
GGCAUAGUUUAAUGGUAGAACACCGGACUCUGACUCCGUUAGUGUUGGUUCGAAUCCAGCUGCC